GACGAACGCUGGCGGCGUGCUUAACACAUGCAAGUCGAACGGUAAGGCCCCAGUUUCCUUGGGUUCACGAGUGGCGAACGGACGAGUAACACGCGGGUAACCUGCUCCGCAUUACGGGAUAAGUCGGGGAAACUGGGCCUAAUACCGGCUACGACCGCAACUUGAGUGGGAGGUCUAAAGUAUUACGGCGUGGGAUGGUCCGGCGGCGUAUCAGCUUGUUGGUGGGGUAAUGGGCUACAAAGGCGGCGCCGGGUAGCCGGCCUGAGGGGGUGGACGGCCACAUUGGGACUGAGACACGGCCCAGACUCCUACGGGAGGCAGCAGUGGGGAAUAUUGCAUGACGGGCGGAAGCCUGAUGCAGCGACGCCGCGUGGGGGAUGACGGCCUUCGGGUUGUAAACUCCUUUCACCUUCGACGAAGGUUUUCUGACGGUAGAUGGAGAAGAAGCACCGGCUAACUACGUG
rnacentral:rRNA from 1 species